ensembl:lncRNA
CUUCUUUUUUAUUCACCUUAACAUUUUGAUAGUCUUGUAUUUUUCCCUUGCUGUCUCAAAACAGCGCCUCUUUUAUUUAUCUACCAUUUCAGCCACAGAGCAGACACACAACAGAAGAAGGAAACCAGAUGAUGUAUUUCAGGAGAAGGGCGAAUGUCAGUUACUGAUUCCCUUUCUCACGCGAUUGGAAGCAUGUGCAUGACCUUGUCUGAAUGCCACCAUACUUCUGGAUUAGAGAACAAUUUGUUAUUUUUUUUUUCUUUCUCCUGACCUGAAAGAUAUACUACACUUGGAAUUUUUCCAUAGUCUUGACUUAGAAACCAAUUUUAUCAAGUUCUCUAAGAAUCAAGACCUCUGUAGCUGCUUUCCGCAUCGUUAGUUACUUCAUGUCAGGACUUGUAACCCAGCACCAGGUUUGGCCAAUAGUUUUUUGGUCUUUCAGAAUUAUUUCGACUGACUCACCCCAGUGCAAAGUUGGAGCCCUUCUGGGAUUACCCUGAAGCAGGGCUCAGAUUAGAUAGCCUUCAGCUUUCAGGAUGCUGUUUGAGAAUGAUGAUUUAUACCGAGGAUAAAACUGAAGAACACCCAAACUGAACUUGCUGGUAUUUCUGUCACUAAAAUAUACUUCAGAAAAGCAUAAUUUGUCCAUAUAUGAUCUUUGAGGUACUUUCCAACCCUAGCAAUUCUAUGUUUCUUUGUGCCUUAUCUACUAAGUGGCAACCCUGCUCCCAACAGGAAGGCUGGAACUAGUUGAUCUUUAGGUCCCUUUCAACCCAACCUGUUCUAUGGUUCUGUUGUUCUAUGAUUUAAGUGUUAGGAGCAGGAUGCACACUGGCUGGCAGGGCUGGGUGACAAGGCUGGGCUGAGGCCUGGACAGUGGGUCAACGUGACUUUGAUUUAGCUGAUGCUCUCGAUCACCCAGAGGAUAUAAUUACCAGGAAGCCCACAGUGAUCAGAAGACCAACAAGACCUCUGAUGAACAAUGAUCUGCAUUUAGGAGAUGCGCUUGGUGGCGGUGACAUCCCAAGACAACCGUUAUACCCACCUCUUCCGCCGCGACCAGGAAGCCAUAGUAAUACUGGUAAGAAUAUUUUCUCCUCAGAAAAUCUAGCACUAGGAACUGUUCAGAGAAGUUAUUUUGAACACUUUACUCUCUUAUUUCUUCAUGUUAUUCAUAUAUUCAUAUUCUUCAUUAAUUAUUUAUAUUUUUUUUUAUCAUCCCUUCCUGAUAUUUCCCUUUUAUUUUUCUUCUUCUUCUUCUUCUUCUUCCUCUUCCUCUUCUUCCUCUUCUUCUUCUUCUUCUUCUUCCUUUUCUUCUUCUACUUCUUCUUCUUCCUCUUCUUCUUCCUCUUCCUCUUCUUCCUCUUCUUCUUCUUCUUCUUCUUCUUCUUCUUCUUCUUCUUCUUCUUCUUCCUCUUCUUCUUCUUCUUCUUCGUCUUCUUCUUCUUCUUCUUAUUAUUAUUAUUAUUUUCACUAUUCUUGACCCAGUGUUUGGAAAGAUUUUCUGAGAUUUUGUUCUGGCACUAUAAGACUUUUCUGCCUCCCCUCCCAAAUCAAAGGACAUUGACUUCUAACUGGCAUGAGACUAAUAUUUAUCUUGUUGCUCCUUUUAUUUUGGGUAUGUAUACACAGAACCGUGCUAAGGUUCAAAUUUGACAUCUGUCUACAUGAAGUGGAUAAGGCUAUGUACAAAUCCAUACUGAGAGAUGGGUCUGAGAAGGCUCUAGGGUAUACAGCAGGUGGGACAGGGGAUAUGGAUUUAAGAUUCCUUUCAACUGUUAUCCCAGACAUACACUUAAAUACAAUGGAGGUGAUACAUCUAUCCUAGCUAUUGCCAUGUAUCUCAUGUUUACUUCUGGUAUGACUGUAGUGAUGCUCUGUGGAUAUGCCCUUCUGGAGCCCUUCCUAGAAGGGACCCACUGAUUUCCUGCUACAAGAGCUGCUGGGAUUUGAGUUGUCCUUACUAUAUUAGGAUCCAUUCUAUUGAAGCUCCAGGUUCUCACAUCCCAUGAGUGUUUACUUCUAUGAAUAGAACUGGGCCAGUUAAUGAGUGGGGCUUUUGCAUAUUGUAUUUAGGACCCUAAAGUGGCUCCAAGAUUCGGACUCACUCCAAAUACAGAACAAAUUUAACAUAUUUACAGACAUACAUGUCUUCAUGCUCAGAAUGGGUAGACAACAACAGUACUUUAGCUUCCAGUGAAUGUAAAUGGGUAACUGCUUCUGUAAGACAGCUGCCAUACGGACACCGGGAUUUCAAAGGUCCCUCACCUUUCCCCAGAACUAUUAAAAAAAAGGCAGAGAAUGGAACUGAAGAGGUUACCACUGUUCAGAUAAUUUUGCAACAGAAGUCCUAAUUUUUAUCUUGCAGGAGGAUUUAACGACUACGAUCUUGUUGAUGGGAAGCCUUUACCACCACACAUGGCUGGUAGUAUUUGAUGAUUCCCGUUGCAUUUUCUUGUUAAUAUUUAUAAAUCAGAGCUGACUGGUUUUGCUUUAGCACAGAUGUUUAUUACUGAAGGUGUAGGAUAAGACUCUGCUAUUUUUAUUUUGACUAGUCAUCUUUCUCCAUGGCUUUUAGCACAAAGCUUUAGCUCCUUUGAAACAUAUCCCUAAAGACCUUGCAAUGUUAAGCCAGAACCUUGCAG